GAUGAACGCUGGCGGCGUGCCUAAUACAUGCAAGUCGAGCGAACGGACGAGAAGCUUGCUUCUCUGAUGUUAGCGGCGGACGGGUGAGUAACACGUGGAUAACCUACCUAUAAGACUGGGAUAACUUCGGGAAACCGUAGCUAAUACCGGAUAAUAUUUUGAACCGCAUGGUUCAAAAGUGAAAGACGGUCUUGCGGUCACUUAUAGAUGGAUCCGCGCUGCAUUAGCUAGUUGGUAAGGUAACGGCUUACCAAGGCAACGAUGCAUAGCCGACCUGAGAGGGUGAUCGGCCACACUGGAACUGAGCCACGGUCCAGACUCCUACGGGAGGCAGCAGUAGGGAAUCUUCCGCAAUGGGCGAAAGCCUGACGGAGCAACGCCGCGUGAGUGAUGAAGGUCUUCGGAUCGUAAAACUCUGUUAUUAGGGAAGAACAUAUGUGUAAGUAACUGUGCACAUCUUGACGGUACCUAAUCAGAAAGCCCCGGCUAACUACGUG
rnacentral:rRNA from 1 species